GGCUUAACACAUGCAAGUCGAGGGGCAGCACAGGUAGCAAUACCGGGUGGCGACCGGCGCACGGGUGAGUAACGCGUAUGCAACUUGCCUAUCAGAGGGGGAUAACCCGGCGAAAGUCGGACUAAUACCGCAUGAAGCAGGGAUCCCGCAUGGGAAUAUUUGCUAAAGAUUCAUCGCUGAUAGAUAGGCAUGCGUUCCAUUAGGCAGUUGGCGGGGUAACGGCCCACCAAACCGACGAUGGAUAGGGGUUCUGAGAGGAAGGUCCCCCACAUUGGUACUGAGACACGGACCAAACUCCUACGGGAGGCAGCAGUGAGGAAUAUUGGUCAAUGGCCGAGAGGCUGAACCAGCCAAGUCGCGUGAGGGAUGAAGGUUCUAUGGAUCGUAAACCUCUUUUAUAAGGGAAUAAAGUGCGGGACGUGUCCCGUUUUGUAUGUACCUUAUGAAUAAGGAUCGGCUAACUCCGUGCCAGCAGCCGCGGUAAUACGGAGGAUCCGAGCGUUAUCCGGAUUUAUUGGGUUUAAAGGGUGCGUAGGCGGCCUUUUAAGUCAGCGGUGAAAGCCUGUGGCUCAACCAUAGAAUUGCCGUUGAAACUGGGGGGCUUGAGUAUGUUUGAGGCAGGCGGAAUGCGUGGUGUAGCGGUGAAAUGCAUAGAUAUCACGCAGAACCCCGAUUGCGAAGGCAGCCUGCCAAGCCAUGACUGACGCUGAUGCACGAAAGCGUGGGGAUCAAACAGGAUUAGAUACCCUGGUAGUCCACGCAGUAAACGAUGAUCACUAGCUGUUUGCGAUACACUGUAAGCGGCACAGCGAAAGCGUUAAGUGAUCCACCUGGGGAGUACGCCGGCAACGGUGAAACUCAAAGGAAUUGACGGGGGCCCGCACAAGCGGAGGAACAUGUGGUUUAAUUCGAUGAUACGCGAGGAACCUUACCCGGGUUUGAACGCAUUCGGACCGAGGUGGAAACACCUUUUCUAGCAAUAGCCGUUUGCGAGGUGCUGCAUGGUUGUCGUCAGCUCGUGCCGUGAGGUGUCGGCUUAAGUGCCAUAACGAGCGCAACCCUUGCCACUAGUUACUAACAGGUAAAGCUGAGGACUCUGGUGGGACUGCCAGCGUAAGCUGCGAGGAAGGCGGGGAUGACGUCAAAUCAGCACGGCCCUUACAUCCGGGGCGACACACGUGUUACAAUGGCGUGGACAAAGGGAAGCCACCUGGCGACAGGGAGCGAAUCCCCAAACCACGUCUCAGUUCGGAUCGGAGUCUGCAGCCCGACUCCGUGAAGCUGGAUUCGCUAGUAAUCGCGCAUCAGCCAUGGCGCGGUGAAUACGUUCCCGGGCCUUGUACACACCGCCCGUCAAGCCAUGGGAGCCGGGGGUACCUGAAGUCCGUAACCGCGAGGAUCGGCCUAGGGUAAAACUGGUGACUGGGGCUAAAU
rnacentral:rRNA from 1 species